CCUACGGGAGGCAGCAGUGAGGAAUAUUGGUCAAUGGGAGAGAUCCUGAACCAGCCAAGCCGCGUGAGGGAAGACGGCCCUAUGGGUUGUAAACCUCUUUUGUCGGAGAACAAAACCCGGGACGUGUCCCGGACUGCGUGUAUCCGAAGAAAAAGCAUCGGCUAACUCCGUGCCAGCAGCCGCGGUAAUACGGAGGAUGCGAGCGUUAUCCGGAUUUAUUGGGUUUAAAGGGUGGGUAGGCGGUCCUUUAAGUCAGCGGGAAAAUUGCGGGGCUCAACCCCGACGGGCCGUUGAAACUGGCAGACUUGAGUUGGCGAGAAGUACGCGGAAUGCGCGGUGUAGCGGUGAAAUGCAUAGAUAUCGCGCAGAACUCCGAUUGCGAAGGCGGCGUACCGGCGCCAGACUGACGCUGAGGCACGAAAGCGUGGGGAUCGAACAGGAUUAGAUACCCCUGUAGUC
rnacentral:rRNA from 1 species